CCGGGACUCCGAGGGCAGCGUGGGCGAGGAGCCCGAGGCGAGAGAGGUGCGGAGUCGCGGUUAUGCCAUCUGGCUCAUAUAACCAGAGGAAACUUGGCACCCACAUUCAACUGGAAUGACCGUCAAUUCACAAAACAUCCUAUUUUCUCUUUGCCAAGAACAAAGUGACAACUGAUCUCAAUGUAGCAGGCCAAGCAGUAUCCAGAUACCCCCUCCUAUUGUUUCUGGGCUUAAGACCUGGCCUGAGGAUAGAAGACUGAGCACUCUGCGGCCAUCACACCCCGAGGGAUACACAACCAGUCCCAGGUGUUCCGGCCUCGGCAGGCCAGGCCCCUGAUGGAGGAAUGAAGAAGCUGCCCAGAUGCUCAGGCCUCAGAAGUCACGACCUGCGGAAACCCGGAGGAGUCCGGCUGACAGCCAGAACGGCGGGUCCAGACCUACACCCCCAGAGCGUCAUUUCAAAUAAAUUAACAUUCUCAUCUCAACUGACUUCAGUGGGCAGAAAGAAACCUUCAUACAACAAGAGAGAAGGUAGGAGAACAGUUCAGAAGGUGUGGAAAGAGACAGAUGGAAAAGGCACUGGAUAGUUUUCUUAAAUACGAAUGCCAGGACUAUCAAAUGCCCCACUUACUAAAAAGUACCAAUUAUAAUUUUCUAAAGUUGGGAAUGAGAAAAGUCAAGUUCCACAUCAAAUCAGAUAUAGUAAUAAUUCUUAAUGUUUUUAUUCACAUAUGUCAUAGAGAAUAUGGUGAUAAGGGUAGACUCUCUGCCCAGAAAAAGAAAAUGUACAUAUUACUUACACACAAAAUCCUAUUCUAUAAUACUCGUCAUCAUAGUCAAGAUGGAAUCCAGUUAGUCACAACACACAUGUAAUACAUAGUCCUAAUCACCUGACUGUCAUAAAAUCUUUCGUGCAUCUAAGCUAGUUUUAUUCUAUAGUUUAAGCCUCUCACCACUUUUUCUGUCCUCUUAAGAAAAGAUCAUUACAGAACUCCCUGUUUAAGUUUUCAUAUAUGCUUGCAAAAGGAUAUGAAAUUUUAUCAUGAUCCCUUUUGCUUUAAGCUGAAACUUCUCUAAACUUCACUUGUAGAUGAUAGCAUAGAGUGUUAGUUACCGUGCAUAUCCUGUUAUCCCUUCUACAGUAGUUACUCAACCAUUUGAUUACAUUUUCUGAGCCUUCAUUGCAGCCAUGUGUGGCCGUAUGACCACGCUUUAAGUCAGUGAUAUGUAAGUUCUUGGCUAUGCGCAUCUUAAUGAUCUCCAUUCCUUUCCUCUGCUCUGAUGUCUGGAAUGAAGAUUCUAUAGUCAUUCUGGACCUUGAUUUUGAGGUGUGAUGGACAACACUGGCUGUUGACUCACUUAUUGGAAGAUAAAUUUCAUGAGAACAGGGACUUGUUUAUUUUGAUCAGAACAUCUUCAGCACUUAAAAAGUGGGUGGUAUGUGGUAAAGGCUUAAGUAUUGAACAGGUAAUGAAUGGAUGAAAUAUGAGUUUAUUCCAGACCCAUAUAAAACACUAAUCACAAAGUCCUCCCCAGGGCUCCUGGGU